UGGGGAAUAUUGCACAAUGGGCGCAAGCCUGAUGCAGCAACGCCGCGUGAGGGACGACGGCCUUCGGGUUGUAAACCUCUUUUGGCAGGGAAGAAGCGAAAGUGACGGUACCUGCAGAAAAAGCACCGGCUAACUACGUGCCAGCAGCCGCGGUGAUACGUAGGGUGCAAGCGUUGUCCGGAAUUAUUGGGCGUAAAGAGCUCGUAGGCGGUUUGUCGCGUCUGCUGUGAAAACCCGAGGCUCAACCUCGGGCCUGCAGUGGGUACGGGCAAUCUAAAGUGCGGUAGGGGAGAUUGGAAUUCCUGGUGUAGCGGUGGAAUGCGCAGAUAUCAGGAGGGACACCGAUGGCGAAGGCAGAUCUCUGGGCCGUAACUGACGCUGAGGAGCGAAAGCAUGGGGAGCGAACA
rnacentral:rRNA from 1 species